rnacentral:rRNA from 1 species
CCCUUAGAUGUUCUGGGCCGCACGCGCGCUACACUGAUACAUGCAACGAGUUUAUAACCUUGAUCUGACGGUCUGGGUAAUCUUCAAACUGUAUCGUGUUAGGGAUCGAUUCUUGCAAUUUUUAAUCGUAAACGAGGAAUUCCUAGUAAACGCAAGUCAUCAGCUUGCAUUGAUUACGUCCCUGCCCUUUGUACACACCGCCCGUCGACUCUACCGAUUGAAUGGUUCGGUGAAAACUUUGGACUGUGGCAUUGUCCUUCAUUGGACUUCGCCGUAGGAAAUUGUUUAAACCUCAUCAUUUAGAGGAAGAGUAAGUCGUAACA